AAGACUGUACUUUCAGGGAUCAUUUCUAUAGUUUGUUACUAGAGAAGUUUCUCUGAACAUGUAGAGCACCGGAAACCAUAAGGAGGGAGGAUAAAUAAAUAGGAAAAAAAGCGUUAUUAUUUAAAAUAUCUGAGUAAGUGGC
rnacentral:snoRNA from 1 species